GCUCAGUCAGUUAAACGUCUGACUUUGGUUCAGGUCAUGAUCUCACAGUCUGUGGGUUCAAGUCCCACAUUGGGCU
rnacentral:tRNA from 1 species